ensembl:lncRNA
UUCAGAGUGAUAUCGGCCGAUACCGAUAACCGAUAGUUUGGUGGUUCUGCCUUUUAUACCUUCUCUUAAAUGAAUAAUAAUGAAUUCCAAAAUUCUGAAAGAAAUGCAAAUAAAAGUCUUUAUUCUCUCCAUUUCAACAAGUUGUUUCACAGUAACUGGUCUCAUAAACAGAACACACAUCACUCUAAUUAACAUGAACACAUGAACUCAAUUCUGAAGAUUAAAUGAAGAUUUCUUAUCUUAUUGAAUGUUAUUAAUUCAUAUUAACAUUGACUGAGUUCUAAAAAAAACCCCUCCUGUUAGUCUCACAUUCACUCUCCACAAACAAAAGCAUUUCUACUUCAUCAUUAAUGUCAUAUAUAAUAUCAACUUUUUGAUAUAUUAACAUUAACUGGAUAUGAAACUCGCUACUCUACAAAUAUAUUUUUCUGUGCAAUAGAUACCUUUUUGUCAACUCCUCUUCGUUGAAAUCUUUCAUUAGUGUACCGGCCCUUUAAUUCAGCUCGAGCAGCUCGGCAAAAAAUAAAAAUUAGACUCGACAAACAAACUGCAGUUUUGUCGUCAUUCCACACAAGAGGCAUCUUCUUUACACACAGCACCAAAUCGAUGUGUUUUCCCGCCCUCUUUUGAUUGACAGGACAUAAUCGGCCCUGAUCAUCGGAUGUUUUUAAACGAUACCGAUUAUGGUCAUGAUCCUCUUCUGCUGAUUUGCGCAUGCACAGGAGUCCAAACAGUUCAAGUAAACAUUCAAAAAAAUUUUUUUUGUAGUUUUGUGAGCAAAAUAAUAGUAAAUUUAUCCUAGUAAACAAUUUAUAUAUAAAACAUAUAUACAAUUUGUGCUUUAACCACAUAUCGCAUAAAUUAAUUUAGUCCAGAACUUAAAACUUCGAAUUUAAUAUCAAUUUCUAAUAAAUUACUUUUUGAUGCAAAGUUUAGUUUUUGUCUUAUUCACCGAACCAUUAAAUAUCUUUUUUUCCCCAGUGUACAGUUGUACUACAGCAGACUAAUUAAUAUUACCUAAUUAUAUUUCGAUAGAUACCGUACAAUACAGAAUUCUUUCAUAUUCAUGUAAUAAUCGUAAUAAUCAGUGUAGCCUGCUAAUUAUAACGGCAUGUUCAGUUUAACGCUAGUCAUUACUUAGCAUGUCUACAGUGCUAGUUCCUGUCGUAGUAUCCUCAAUAUAAUGCGAGUUUUCUGCUUAGCAUGCUUAGUAUAAUCCUAGUUCCUGUACAAUCCUGUUUACGGUAAUGAUAGUUCAUUGUGUUUACUUUCAUGCAAUAAAAUGUUGUUUACUGCAAAGCAGGUUUCUAGAUUAGCAUGUGUGCUAUCAUACUAUUUUCUGUGUUGGACCUUUUUCUUAAGUUUUGUCAUCGUAAAAACCUAUGUCUCAAACAUUACAUAUACAGUAGCUCUAUGAUAAUCAGUUUCCUGUGAGAAAAAGGUGCGGUGAAAAAGUAUUUGCCCCCUCCCGAUUUCCGAUGUUUUUUUUUUUUGCAUGUGUCACACUAAACGGUUUCAUUCUUUCAAUGACAAUCAGGAUUUUCUGGUAGAGAGCAGAAUUCAUGUUUCUGUCAGUCAUUUCAAGUCACCCUUUGCGGCCCUGAUGGAGCAAAGCAUCCUCACACCAUCAUAUUACCACCACCGUGUUUGACUGUAUAUAUGAUGUUCUUGGUAAAAUAUGUUAGCUUUACACCAGAUGUAAUGAGAGCCAUGUCUUCCAAAAAGCUCCCAACUCAUCAGUCAACAGAACAUUAUCCCAAAUAAGCAUCGAUGUUUUUUAUUUUAUUUAUUUUUUCAAAUGUGAGAGGAGGCUUUAUGUUCCUCUUGGUUAGCUCUGGUUUUUGUCAACUCUUAUGCAUUGCAUUUCUGCCCAGUUUCUUUCGAAAAAGAAAACACUGACCUUAUCUGAGGUGAGCAAGGUCUGCAGAUCCCUAGACGUUUGUCUGGGUUCAUUUGUGACUUGCUGAAUGAGCGGUCAGUGUGCUCUUGGAGGAAUUUUGGUAGGCUGGACACUUCUGGGAAGAUUCACCACUGUUCCAGUGUUUUCACCAUUCGGAGAUAAUGGCUCUCACUGUGAUUCGCUGCAGUCGUGGAGCCUUAGAAAUGCUUUUAUCCAGACGGAUUAAUUAAAUAAUUAAUCGGUUAAUUAAAUAAAUAAUUAAACGGUUAUUUCAAUAACUUUCCUUCUCAGCCUUUCCGGAAUUCAUUUUGAUCGCUGGCAACAGUGUGCUGCUUGUUAGCAUUUAGCCUACUUAUUUUAAGUGAUGUUUAGAUUCAACAGGGCUGGCGGUUAUCAAGCUCGAGUGUGCCUAGUCUAAUUGAAUGCAAUUAUCAGUUAAUCCUGGUUAAUUAGUUGAUUGUGUAACUAAGGUGGCAAUUACUUUUUUUUUUUUUUACACACAGACAGCUGGUGUUGGAUAACGUAAUAAAUGAGACAAUCACUUAAAAACUACAUAUUGUAUGUAUAUCGUUGUUAUUGUCUUAUAUUAAACUGUUGUUUGAAUAUCUAAAGCAAUUAAGUUCCACACCUCAAGAAAUCAGGGAAAGGGCGAAUACAUUUUCACGGCACCGUAAACUAAUGACUUGAAUAGUAAAACUAACCUUAUAUUAAAUUAGAUUUUAAAUAUGGCUAUAAAAGGAUAAUUAUCGUUCAGAAAGGACAUAGUUUUGGAGCUAACCUUGCUAGAAAAAGAAAAGUCUAAAAGGGAGAUUGAGAAUUGUGCAUUACGUCUCAUUACAAAGAUUUGGCUCAUAAUUAAAAAAAAAAAAAAGACUAUGUGAGUGUGUCGUUAUAUUUUGUCAAGAAAUGUAAACACGGUUUAAUUAACUGAUAUAUAAAGAACUCACUGAGGUGUGCAUGCUUUAAUUGACAGUUUGAUGUAUGCAGAUGUUAUCAGGAUUUAAUCGAGUCUAUGGAAAUGACAAGAUAUAAAUACUAUGCCGUGUGUGCGUGUGUGUGUACGUGCGGGUGUGAGUGUGUGCAUGUGUAAGAUGCCGCUCCCUCCAUUCCAGUCGCCAUAGCAACCGUCAGACUCCUGCAGCACACAGCAGUUUCUCUUUUCCCCCAUCCCACCCCCAUUGUCCCAUCCCCCACUUGCGCCAAAUCUCUGUCUCACACUCGUUCUUUUUCGUCUGUCCCUCGCUUUCUGCAUGGGUAAGGGUUACGAUGCGGGGUGUGGUUAGCGUUAGCGUUAGGGGUGGAGUUAGGAGUUAGUUAGUCAUAGCUUUAAUUACAAGUUCGGUCAAUAUGAAAUCUGAAUUUCCAAAUUUCACUCACUUCAUAGUUACUAUAAAAUAAAUUGUGACGUUGGGAUGAUGUACGAUGUAUAUAUAUACAGUAUACACACACACACACACACACACACACACACACACACACAACACACACACACACACACCACGUUUCAAGAUAUACCUCAUUUCAACAUAUACAAUACCUCAUUUCAAAAGAUUAUGGACCUCAUUUUAGAAUAAACUUAAUGUAAACCUAAUUUCAACGUAUACCUCAUCUCAAGAUAUACCUCAUUUCAACAUAUACCUAAUUUCGACGUAUACCUCAUCUCAAGAUAUACCUCAUUUCAACAUAUACCUAAUUUCGACGUAUACCUCAUCUCAAGAUUUACCUCAUCUCAAGAUAUACCUCAUUUUAACAUUAAUUCAUCUCACAAUAUACCUGAUUUCAACAUAUGCCUAAUUUCAAUGUAUACCUCAAUUCAAUAUGUACCUCACCUCAAGAUAUACAUCAUUUCAGCAAUUACCACAUUUCAACAUGCGUCUAAUUCCAACGUAUAUCUCCUUCCAACAUAUAUCUCAAGAUAUCCUUCGUUUCAACAGGUCUAAUUUCAACAUAUACCGCAUAUCAAAACAGACCUCAUUAAAACAUAAAACUAAUUUCAAUGUAUACCUCAUUUCAUUGUAUAUGUCACGCUUUCGCCGGCAGAUGGCGCUGCGGUGUCGAUAUGCACCGGCGGCGUACACGAGAUUGAACUGUUGCCUAUGGACAUGUGCCUUUGUUUUGGUUUUGGUUCUCUUCCUGUUUAAGCAUUGGUUGAUGUUCAAGGGUGUGUCAUUAUUGAUCCCAGCUGUCUGUGAUCUAGCUUGAUUAUGUUUGGUAUUUAUAGCCCUCGUGUUACUUUGUACUUCGCGCAGUAUUACUUUAGUAACCGAAUGAAUGUAAUGGUGAACGCGUUACGUAUGCUAAGCGGUCUUGUUUUCGUGUCCUGCUCUCGUUCCAUGCCUCGACUUUAGUUUCCUGUUUAACCUCGAUGAUCUUGUCCUGUAUAGAUCGCGUUUUAUGUGUCUUGAUUUCUGUUGGUAAAUAAAGACGUUGAUCUGCUCUUGCUUCUGCCUCUGCUCCCAUUUUGUAACAGUAUACCUCAUUUCAUUUAAACAGCGCCUAACUAAUUUUACUGUAUGUCUCAUACACCUCAUUUCAGUAUAUGCCUUUUCAAACAUUAUUUCAAUUCAUAUAUAUACAUAAAAUAUGCUAAAAACUAUAGACCUAUGGUACAUAUACAAAAUGCAUGCACUGUUAUGAUAAUUCACUGUGUGAAUUUCAACACAGACAAUUUUCUGUGUGUAGACUUAUAAUGAUGUAUUUGGAAAUACGGAACAAUCAUGGCUAAAGUAGUUUAAAAAUGACUAAAAAGUAAGAUAAAAAAAAAUAUGAAUCAUCUGAACCACCAUUUUGUUCUGCCUUUCUUACUCACUAUGGAUCAGUGAGCAGAAGAAUGACUUUGAUUUAACGGAAAAGGCCAUCUGAGUGGAAUGGACAAUCUCUGUUCAAAAAUGCACUGAGUACUGUGGUAAAAUGUGCGGUUUCAUGGGUCUGAUCUCUCAAAAGCUUGAGUGUGAACAUUUCCUGGAACAAGUGAAGAAUGUAAACAUGGAAUAAAACCCCUUUCAGCUCUGCGUCAAUGGAAUAUCACUCAGUAUAGGUCCUUUUUAACAUACACAGCCUCUCAAACACUUCAGGACAUUACUGUCACACACACACACACACACACACACACACACACACACACACACACACACACACACACACACACACACGUGCGCGUACACAAUCUUCACUCAUAAUGCUACUACUGUACUGUAAAAUAAUGGGGCUACAGUCAGGUCUAAAUGUUAAUGU